UAUGUGAUCGUCUCUCGCAUAUCAAUAAGCGGAGGAAAAGAAACUAACAAGGAUUCCCCUAGUAACGGCGAGUGAAGCGGGAAGAGCUCAAAUUUGAAAUCUUAAAGGGUUUCCCUUUACGAAUUGUAGUUUAAAGAAGUGUUUUCUGUUGAGGUUUUGGUAAAAGUUCUUUGGAGUAGGACAUCAUAGAGGGUGAGAAUCCCGUAUUUGACCUUUACUUUCAACUUUGUGAUACACUUUCAAAGAGUCGGAUUGUUUGGGAAUGCAGUCCAAAAUGGGUGGUAAAUUUCAUCUAAAGCUAAAUAUUGGCGAGAGACCGAUAGCGAACAAGUACCGUGAGGGAAAGAUGAAAAGAACUUUGAAAAGAGAGUUAAACAGUACGUGAAAUUGUCAAAAGGGAAGCGUUUGACACCAGUGUUGUUUUUCUGAAAAUCAAUUAAAGAACUGUUUAUGCUAAGCUGUUUAGACUUUAUCAGCUAAUCUGUUUAGUUUUGAGCUUUUCUUUAAUGCACUUUUCAGUUAACAAGUCAACAUCAAUUUCUUUUGCUGUAAAAAAGCUUGAGGAAGGUGGCUUGAGAUUCGUCUUAAGUGUUUAUAGCCUCUUGCCUAUGCAGUCGGAGAGAUUGAGGUCUGCAGCGUAGAUCCUUCGGGGCUAAAUGCAUUUGUGCUAAGUUAUAGCAUUUUAUAGACAACUUGUUGACUAUGAUUUGUCUUGUAGCUUACUCGCUCAUGUUAUUUUACCUACGCUUAGGAUGUUGAGUCGUAGAGCACGCAG
rnacentral:rRNA from 1 species